rnacentral:rRNA from 1 species
GACGAACGCUGGCGGCGUGCCUAAUACAUGCAAGUAGGACGCAGUUGCGAACGGGUGAGUAACGCGUAGGUAACUACCGAUGAGAGGGGGAUAACUAUUGGAAACGAUAGCUAAUACCGCAUACUAGACGAUGGACCUGCGUUGUAUUAGCUAGUAGGUAGGGUAAUGGCCUGCCUAGGCAACGAUACAUUGCCGACCUUAGAGGGUGAGCGGACACACUGGGACUGGGACACGGGCCAGAAUCCGUCGGGAGGCAGCAGUAGGGAAGUUUUGGAAAUGGGUGGAAGCCUGAAUGAGCAUCGCCGCGUGAUUGAAGAAGGGUUUCGGAUCUUUAAUCUCUGUUGUUAAGGAAUCGGUACCUAACCAGAAAGGGACGGCUAACUACGUGCCAGCAGCCGCGGUAAUAC